UCGGUACCGGUUCACGUCCCGCCCACGGGGGCGGCGACGACCCGGCGCC
rnacentral:ncRNA from 1 species